UACGUAGGGUGCGAGCGUUGUCCGGAAUUACUGGGCGUAAAGAGCUCGUAGGUGGUUUGUCGCGUUAUCCGUGAAAACUCACAACUCAAUUGUGGGCGUGCGGGCGAUACGGGCAGACUGGAGUACUGCAGGGGAGACUGGAAUUCCUGGUGUAGCGGUGGAAUGCGCAGAUAUCAGGAGGAACACCGGUGGCGAAGGCGGGUCUCUGGGCAGUAACUGACGCUGAGGAGCGAAAGCGUGGGGAGCGAACAGG
rnacentral:rRNA from 1 species